UGGAGAAUCGACAAGCGGUAAGUCACCUAGCUCUGAACUAGGUUAUCGGGGGUUCGAAUCCCUCUUCUCCAG
rnacentral:tRNA from 1 species